rnacentral:misc_RNA from 1 species
UGUGCCAGUCGUGAGCGCGAUUCCGUCGCGCCGCGUACUUAAGGAGCCGCGUGCGGCGAAGAAGCGGCGGAACGGAGGGUGGAAAAGAGUGAGGGAGCAAGGGGAGGGAGCCCCCGAAAAAGAAGAAAGGAUUCUCUCCCGUCGAGGGGAUUGUCGCGUCGGGACUCAACGCUCAGUCCGUCCACGUCCGCUGUCGAAGAGACGACCGGAAGACCGGUCUUCCCGCGCGAUUGCCUCUUCCUGCCUCCGAGGAGAACGACUAGAAUCGAAACGGAACUUCUUCCUCUUCGUCGAGCUAAGAAACGCGUCUUCCGCGUGUGCGGAAUCCUCGAAGAUCUCAAUCAUCUCGCGAGUCUAGAUUGAUUGCAAACGUUGAAUGAAUCUGUGCAUAGUUUUUGACUCGAUUAUUUUCAAGGAGAUCAAAUUGUCGAAGAGAAACAUCCCCCUUGGGAGAAUUCGAGGAAUGUGUAAAAAAAAUAACGUUUCGUGGAGAGGACAAUCGAUAUCGAUUGACGGAUAAUCGACGGCCGUUCGCAUGCUCCUGGCAUUCGCGAGUACGGAAAAAGAAGAGGAAACAAGUGGUUGCGGUUUAAAAGGGCCUUUUAUCUCGGAGAAGCGCCGAUCUCACACGUACGUUACGCUCACAUCCUCGUUAUCCCCUCUACGAGGUGUUGCAUGUUGCUUGCGGCGGAGAUCUGGCAGCUUUGUAAAAGGCUUAUCAUAUGGGGAGGAAAAGAGCGAAGAAACAUUAGAGCGUGGCGCGCGAGACGAGAUCGCAAUGAAAGUCAAUAAACCGUGAUGAGUAACGGAGAGUAUAGUGGUCGGAGUGGCAUUAAUAAAUUAGUGUCUACUUGCUGCUACAAGCAACAGCAGCGGCAGCAGUAGCAGGAGUCGGAGGAGGAAGAGGACGCGAAGAGGAAGAGGAGGAGGAGGAGGUGGAGGAGGAGGCGGUGGAGGAGGCGCGGACCUCGAGUGCGUGCGUUGUGCGUGCGGUGUGUGUACGCGGGUGUGCGCGUGCGAAUACGUGUGACCGGCAGCCGUGUCGAUGCGGGGAUUUGGCCAGUGUGUCAGUGUGAAAGAAGACAAUUGACUCGCCGUCCGUCGGACGGUACUCGGCUCGGCAGGGGGGCCUUCUGACGUCACAUCCGGGCUGUACAAGCCGCGAUCUCAUCUGGACCACGGGCGCACGAAGCGAAUGAAGAACGAUGACCUACCGCGACAAGAGGAUCCUCGGGAUCCUUGUCUUGCUCAAUGUAAUAAUAAAAAUUUUGGCAAACCAGACGGAUUCGUCAAAAACAGAUAUGGUAGAGGGAACAGAAGAUUUCACUACGAUCAAAAAAGUCCUGCCGGACAGGUGUCUAGCCAAAAUAGAACAGGGACCUUGUACGCAGUUUGUUCAUAAAUGGUACUUCAAUAAGACCGAAGGGAAAUGUCGAACGUUUCCUUACGGCGGUUGCAAAGGAAAUGAUAAUCGAUAUAACUCGGAAGACGAGUGUCUUUAUUACUGCGUCGGUGGUGCUGAUCAUACCCUACCGCCUUAUCUCGUGACAAAAGGUAGUGUAUUUGUUACAACGAGCGGUACAACAACAACAAAUAGUCCACUCCCGACGACUUCUAGUACACCACGACCGACUUUUACACCUCCGAAACCGACGAAACCACCGGUACCGAAACACAAACGAGGAAAGGAAUUAACUUUCAUGGAAUCUGGCCACGAGAAGACAUUCAUGUUUGCGCAAAGUAAUACUUUUAUUCAGCUCGACGGUUCUGGUAUCACAACUUUUCAAUUGAGAUUAUGCCGCGAGAUAUCCUUCAAGUUUCGCACCAAGCUUCCGCACGGUUUGCUAGUUUAUCACAGCGUCAAAAAUCGACCAGAAGGCCUCGACCCUUACGCACUUUAUGUGAUAGUGGAAAAGGGUCAAUUGAAAGUAGUUCAUGUGUUCGGCAAACAAUCGACCAGCCUAACUGUCGGCGAAGGUCUUAACAGAGACGAAUGGCAUAGCGUUCUCGUGAGAAUCGAUGUGCACGGAGCAAAAUUAAUCGCUAGAGUCGAUGAUAAGAAGGCCGACACUACUCUAAAAGUUCUCGAACGUGUUGUUAAUUACGGGGUAUCCGAAGAUUUGGCCUCGGUCGUUUUAAUCGGAGGAUUGAGCUCUGAAGAACGAUUACACGGAGUGAAAUAUAUAAUAGAGUCGUUUGUCGGUUGCAUCAGGGAUAUGGUUUUGAGUUCCGGAAAAUCCGCCAGCGAUUUGCUACCUAUUCGACCGCUGAUCGCGACUAAGCACGAGAACGUUAAGGAAGGCUGUAUAGAUAAAUGCAGGACACGAGAGAACUUGUGCUUCGUCCCCCAUCAAUGUGUGAAUCAUUACAAUAGUCUGACAUGCGAUUGUUUUGGAACAAAGUACGAGGGUGAACGUUGCGAUGUAUAUACUGCGACGAUACUGACACUAAGAGGUUCCUCGUACGUAUCUUUCCGUGUGUACGAUUGGAAGGAUCGUGUUCAUUCGUCUGUCAACAGGAUCAGCCUCGCUUUUAAGACAAAAUGGGAUGAUUCUGCCUUGUUUUAUGCUUCCGGUGAGAUCGAUGGCACACCGCAUUACAUUGCAGCUUCCAUUAUAAACGGAUCGGUCUACGUUGAACUCGAUUUCGGACACAAUUCAAAAAUCUCCACUAUGUUAGGCGAUUACGUCACGUCUGACCAUUGGAACAAUUUGAUUAUAUCCCAUAAUGGAUCUCUCGUCUUCGUCAGCUUAGACGACGAGAAGAAGGUACUAGAAGUACCGGGAGAAAAUUACAAUAUGAUUAUUGAUCCGGAGAUAUACAUCGGUGGCGGUCCGGAGCUUCACAAAAAGAAAGGUCUUCUGUCACAUAAUAAUUUUGCAGGUUCCUUGAAGUAUGUAUUCUUCAACGAUAAGUCGAUUAUAUAUGAACUGAAGCGCUCUAAUCCUAUGGUACACUAUAUCGGCGUCUUGGAACCCGAAUAUUAUGAAGCCGAUGUCGAAGUUAUCCCCAUCACGUAUCCUUUUGCGGAAAGUCAUAUCUGGUGGCCCAUCGAACGAACUGAUUCGCUGAAGUUAAAUUUUGACUUCAAAAGUUCAAAGCCAAUCGCAGUCGUUGCAUCGGGGGAUAUAAAGAGCAGUCGCGGUGUUGGUUACUGGGAGCUACGUCAAGUCAACGAUGAAAUUCGUUUCCAAUUGAUACCGGUUAUAACGGAGAAUAUUACGGUGAUAACUUCGGUAAAGUUUCCGCCUUACAAUACUUCUUGGCACGCGGUCGAACUUAAUUACACAAAAGGCGACCUCAACAUCCUGCUCGAUUACAAAAAUAAGCAGAGCAAAUUCUUUGCUUUGACAUUCGAGUUGGGUGAAAAAGUUAUUAUAGGAAGUGGUAUUAUAGGAAGUAAAAGCAAUGCGGGUUUAGUAGGAUGUAUGCGCGAGAUACAAGUGAAUAAUCAAAGAAUCGAACCUAGAUACGUGAUUAACACUGAGAGAGUAAUCGGAGAAGUCGCUUUAGACAAUUGUCAAUUUGUGGAUCCGUGUAAGAGACCAAACACUUGCGAACAUGGCGGUAAAUGCUCAGUCAAAGAAGAUAGGAUCACGUGUGAUUGCACAGAUACUGGAUAUAUCGGAAAAAACUGUCAUUUUGCAACAUAUAGAAAAACCUGUGAAGAAUUGGCUCUAUUGGGAUUCACUCAGGAUGAUGUUUACAAAAUUGACAUUGAUGGAAAUGGCCGAUUUCCGCCCGCUUCAGUAAAAUGCGAAUUUCAAUCGAUCGAGGAUUCAACCAAGACGAUCGUCGAACACAAUUUACCCUCCCAAGUGGAUGUCAGAUCUAUCAGCGAGAACGACUUUUCUUUCAAUAUCAAGUACAGGCAGUUCACCGCUGAGAUGCUUCAAGAGCUAAUCUCACAUUCGCUUUAUUGUAGCCAAUAUGUAAAGUAUGACUGUUAUAAAGCACCCUUGGAGCUACACAGUGCCACGUGGUUUCUUGGCUCGAAAGGCACUACUGUCGAUUACAUCGGAAAUGUCAAUCGCGGAUCAUGUCCUUGCGGAAUGAACAGAACAUGCGUGAACUCCAAUUUGAGCUGUAAUUGCGAUGUAUCCGCCGGAAAUGCGGGAAAAUGGCUAUCAGAUGAAGGAUACUACGAAACACCUGAUUCUUUAGGCAUCACAGGGCUGAUAUUCUUACAACAAAAAGAUCUCGAAGAAGAUGCUCAAGGACGUAUCACUUUAGGACCAUUAGAAUGCGUUGAGACAAAUACACAAAAAUACGUCGUAACAUUCACGACAUCGCAAUCGUACAUCGAAGUACCGGGUUGGAGAAAGGGUGAUAUAGCCUUCAGUUUUCGAACAACGGGCGAAAAAGCUAUUCUUCUAUAUCAGCCGCCAAUCCGGAACAACUAUCCUUCCUUCAUGGUCGCGUUAACAUCCGAGUAUCAGUUGACGUUCAAUUUCACCUUAAACACCGGCACUAUUCGCGAGUUAGAAGUAAGAAGCCGACGCAAACUCAACAAUGGCGAAUGGCAAAAGAUAUGGAUCGACUAUAACGACUAUCAUGUGAGAUUCAUGAUCAACACCGACUUUCAAAUGGUGGAUUUAUUGUCCGAGGAAGAAUUCGGGCCCUUUGAAGGAUCAAUGUUCAUCGGUGGUGCUACUGCAGAGCAUUUGAAAACUUCUUCCGUUCGACAAGGUCUCAUCGGCUGCUUUCGCGGUCUCGUUGUCAACGGAGAGAUAUUAGAUAUCCAUAGUUACAUGUCUGUACAUCUAUCGGAAAUUAUUAAGGAUUGCAAGCCUUCCUGUCAACCUAAUAAAUGUCAGAACGGUGCCAGAUGCGUCGAGCUGUGGAGCAAUUUCGAAUGUGUAUGCGAAAAUCGAUGGGCGCAUUUAGGCACUUUUUGCGAGACAAACAUUAAUAACAAAGCCCUUACAUUCACUUCGCCUGGAGUGUUCCUGAAGAAGAACUACUUCGAAUCGGACAAUAAUGAGGAGAAAUUGCAGCUGAAGAGCAUGCUACAAGAGAAUAUUCUGAUUAAUUUAAGAACUUACGAUACACACUCUCUGAUACUUUAUGCGAACGAUCAUUUAAACAACUUCGUGCAUCUUUACAUUUCGAACGGCACUAAUAUCGUCUAUCUUUUCAACGCUGGCAAUGAGAUCAAGAACAUCACCGUAUCAAAUCCAAACGUCAACACAGGAAUCUCUGUGCAAAUCGCUAUUAUUCGAGGCGAAAAUUGGACUACGCUGCAUGUGAAUGAAUAUAAUGUCACACUGAACGCGGUACCUAUACUUCUGGAUACAUAUUCGAAUAAACCAUGGACAAAUCCGGAGAAAGAAGUUUUAGCACCGCAGCGGCCGCCAGCGCCUCCAACCGAUUAUUUCCAAGUAAAUUUAGGAGGUUUUGAUUCCAACUUGCUCAGAGUCGGACAAGAAGGUGCCCUAAUUCAAGGUUACGUUGGUUGUUUGCGAGGACUCAUGAUUGGCAAAUAUCUGGUCGACUUGCCAAAUUUAGCUAACGAAGCAAAUCAUGAAGGCAAAGGCGUUCUACCAAAUUGUCAAAUGAAGUGCGAUGCAAUGCCUUGUAAAAAUUUGGGAAUCUGCACAGAAGAUUUCAACAGGCAAGAAUCUUCUUGCAAUUGCGAAUUGACGUCUUACUUUGGCGAGUAUUGCGCUGAUGAAAAGGGCGCUGAUUUCAGCGGGGAAAGUGUACUUCAACGAGAAUUUGAACUCGAGGGCGAAGUAAAUCAGGUGAAGGUUCAAUUAGCAUUCUCGACAAGCGAAUUACGACAGCGAACUACUGCGUUGCUGCUAGUGCAGACCGACAAUAAAAGAAGCUACUACUUAUUAGUGGCUUUAACGUCUGAGGGGCAGCUUAUUUUCGAAGAGGACAGAGAUGGCUCGGCGGCUUACGGAGUGCGUCUGAACGAUCGAAAUUUCCUGAACGGUGCACGUCACAGUGUUUAUUAUGUUCGCGAUAACACCACUGCCACUCUCUUGAUUGACCGCCAACCCGCCCAAUUGAUACCACUUCCGGGACUACCAAUUCGAGUAGAUGAGGACGAAACUCCUGGUGCAACAGAGAUUCAACUUGGUGGAUUAAACACUACCGAUUCGCGAUUUAUCGCUUACAAAGGUUACACCGGCUGUCUCAGCAAUGUUGUGAUAUCAAUCAACGGCGGUCCCGGCAUGAAACCGUUAGAAGAAUAUAUGCUUUUUACAAAGCAAGCUAGCGAGACUGUUCGGGCAACGAUACCCGCUGGUGUUAGAAGCGCUCAAUGCGCGGUCUUUCAUAUUCAACCUGGUGGUCUUGAACCGCCCAGAAACGUGCCUAAUGAAGGCGGUGAUCGAGAAUGGGUUGAGGAUCCGCCCGAGAAAAUACCGUACAAGUCGCAGUAUUCGAGCACGACUCAGGAAGAGCAAGGUGCGGGAACAUACAUUUUCAUAGCUCUGUGUUGUGUUUUUGUGGUUGUGGUGACUGGGUGUAUUUACGAAGUGUGGCGAAGUGCUCGCAAGGAUCGUCAACGACGUCACAGAGCGGCCUCAGGAGCGGCAGCGACCGCAGCUUCCGGUUCGCAGCGUUGGCAGCCACCACAAUAUACGGAAUCUUUAGUGACCACGACCGGCGUGAAAGCGGUCGGUUUCAAAAACGUGAUGGACGACGAUAAGAGGCCGAAUGGCACGCAUGUGAAAGCGCUAGGUGCCAAGGAAUAUAAACCACUGCCGAAUACGGAACCCAAGGAUUUGAUAAACGAUAAGAACGAUAAGAAGGUUCACAUAAAAGCAGACGAAGAAUCAGAGAAAAAGGAGCUCCUAGGGGUAAAUACAGGCAUCAUGACUAAACCUGCGAAACUGAACCCAUUUUCAAUGGAAGAUCUAAGAGAAGAACCUGAACUGGAAGAACGCGAGGAGAAAGAAGAGGAAGAAGAGGAGGAAGAAGAUGUCCAAGAGCAAGGGACGGACAAGAACAAGGAUCAAUCACAGAAACAGCAACAAGAGGAACAGGAAAAGAACGAGAAAAAUGAUCAAGAUAACGAGCCCCUCGUCAGGCCGCACAGGGAUUGGUCUAUCAGGACGAGUGUCGAAGAAAACAUUAUACCGUUAGAUUCAAUUUUAAAACCCGAUGAAACGAAAACACCGUGUGAAUUUUAGAGGCAUCUACAAACGGAGACAUUGGGCGACAAUUAAAAACACAAGGAAAUCCCCGCUUAGCACCAGACAAUCCGAUAUUCUUCAAUAUGCCUACCAUCUUCUUGCCGGAUGGCCAACGGACUUUCAGCAAUCCAUUGAGUUAUCUCGGUGGUCCGAUAUUACCAUUGAGGAAUAGAUCUAUCGAAUCA